rnacentral:lncRNA from 1 species
AAUAAACCAUUCUAGAAUAUUUAAAAUGCAUUUUGACUAAUCGUUUAGAGUGUUUUUUUUGUGUUUAAAUAGUACUUUUUUUUUAUAUAUGUUUUGAAUAUCUAUGUUUUAAAAUUUAAAUAUUAACUUAUUUUAAUCUAAUUUAAUUUUAAAAAAAAAUAAUAAUUUAUGACGAGUAUUUGAAAUAAAGGGAAUAGUGAACUACCUCCUUAUUUAAAUUACGUGACUAUUUUUGAAAACUAUGCACAUUAAUUUAUAAAAGGUCUACUGGACUUAAUCACAUUAAUUUAUAGUUAACCUUCUUGCCUUUUUAUAUGGUGAUAUGCAUACUCCAAUCAUAUAUAAAAUAUAUUAUUAGCAUAAGAUGGCAAUUACAAAUAGUUCAGGGCAUCAAGUUAUGAUAAUAAGUUCUUUUUUUUUAAAACAAUAAAAAUAAAAUAAAUAUGGAUAGAGAUAGGGAAUAAAAGAACCUCUAUUAAUGGAGGCGAAUUCAACCCUUCGUUUCAAUUAUAAAAGAUAAUGUUCAAUCCGUUGGUUUAUACUCAUCUAUGUUAUCAAUAUAUACUUUUAUGUAGGACCCGUGCUUGCACGGGUUCGCCAUCGUCUAGUACUUGAAAUAUGUUUGAGUAUGUGCCCUUGGAUACAUUGCUAUUUACUAUUUCAUAAUCGAUGAGUCAUGUUAUCGUUUAAAGCUAAGGUUCGAAAGAUCUUAUUAUUAUUGGAUACUAAUUAUUAUUUUUUCAUUUUCUCGCUGCAUGUGAAAUCUUCCUGAGUCCUCAUGGACUCUACCUUUGCAUUUUCUCAUUGGCCCGGGGAGGCCCAAUCCCUUAUUCGAGUCUACCGGCCAUUGAAAAUUGACGUACAGGUCCUGGAGUUAAAAAAAUAAUAAUAAUACUGAAGCAGAUCGGAGAACUGAGAAGAUUGGGCCAAAGGCCCACUCUUAAAUCCAAGAUUGUAUUUUGUUACUUGUUGGGCCUAAGCCCAUUUAGUUAUUAUUAUUAUUAUUUCUCUUAGAAGUUUAGGACAGGUGAAAUUGGGCCUAAGGCCCAAAUAAUAUUUUAUUUUAUGUUAGUUUAAGACAGGUACAAAGGUGGCAAAAAUCGGGCCAAAAGGCCCAAAAUGAAAUUAGGCCCAAAUACUGGCCUAGGCGAACAGGAAAACCAGAUUUGGGCCCAAAUCUCUUUCCCUCCUUUCUUUGUUGUGUUUAUUUACUCGUCAUUAUUUGCUAUUAAUCUUAAGGUUUUAAAAUCUUCAAAUCCCUAAA